CAUUGGUGAGAAUCUAAUGCCCCGAAAACCCAAGGGUUUUUCCGCAAGGUUCGUCCAUGGAGGGUGAGUCAGGGCCUAAGAUCAGGCCGAAAGGCGUAGCCGAUGGACAACAGGUGAAUAUUCUUGUACUACCCCUUGUUGGUCCCGAGGGACGAAGGAGGCUAGGUUAGCGUAUAAAUUAUCAUUUCAAUGAUUUCUCCCAUAAUGAUAUCUAUGCUACCUAGUAUCGUCAUAAUAUCAGCCAAUUUCCAUCUCCAAGGAAAACCGCUUUGAUCCCCUAUCAGAAAAAUUCCUAAUUCUCCCUUUGGGGCUUCCAUUCUCGCAUAAAGUUCUUGUCUCGGUAAUUCAAAUGUGGGA
rnacentral:ncRNA from 1 species